GAUUUGCCCUUUGCUUCUUGUCCUGUCAGUGUCCUGCCACCGCAGAGAGGAGUGUGGCUCAUUCUCUUUUGCUCCCCCUGACCACCACCAGAGAUGACAUGAGUUAUCCUUCUGACACUGGAUCUGAUGUUGAUUCAAGAACCUUCAACUGGCAGAACAGAAGAUGUUAUCCCCUUUCACAGCUCUACAUUAUGCCCAGGAAAAAGUGCCAACAAGUUCAGCUGCAGAAGCACCAGCCUUGCCAGUGGUAAGCAAGUCUAGUCCUAAGUGAUGUUAUGAUCUGUCUCAGGAAAGCUCUGUUUUAAAAACUCUAGAAUGAUGAAUUGUAAGAUUUAAAACUGAAAACAAACAAAGUCCCAGACAGUUCUAGAGCUGAUCACUGAACUUAAAGAGUGCUCUGUGCAAGAAAGCUGUUUACACCUAAGUGCAUUAUUUAGUUAUUUGUCUGUGUUUUCAGAGACAGCUAUGCCAUAACAGAUGCUCUUUAACUAUAAUACGUCCUGUGGAAAUCUAUUGUUUCUCCAAAUGUUUUGGAACACUUGCCAUAUUCAUGGUGAUGUCUUCCCACUGCAACUGAAUGCAAAUAGGCAAUGUUCAAGAAGCAGAUUCAGUAUUAAAUAAGAACAUUUUGCCUUUUGUUUAUU